UGUACUAGCAGGUUGCAAUCCGCUAUAAAAGACGAAACCUUGGCGGAGCCUGGAGAGCAACACUACCUGGACGAUGUCGGUGGCCGGUAUCUUCUGAUUUUUCGGAAAGAAAAGACGAAACCUUUCCCCGUAAACUGAGAAAGCUUAUCAAGGCUGGGUUGGUCCAAUAGUUGAUUAUACUGCAAGGAACUGAUUUGUUUCAAGUUGGUCGCCUCUGACAAUGGCGCUGAAGUCCUGUUGCGAAAUUCUGAUCGCUGUUGUUGUCGUCAACCUUGUCAUUGUUGCCAAUGCUGUGCCGUCUCCGAUCCUGGACGGGUUUGAUGGAAGCGAUGAGAUGCAGCAGCAACAACAGAACCACGAGCAGGCUCUGAGUGGUCGGACCCAGAGUCGCAGCAAGCGCUCGCUCAUCAACUUCUCCAGCAUGAUCAAGUGCGGUGUCCCGGGAGUCAACUCGCACGCCACUGUGACGGCCCUCUACGGGUCCUACGGCUGCUGGUGCGGCGUCGGCGGCAAGGGGAAGACAGUGGACGCCAUUGACAAGUGCUGCAACUAACCACGACAAGUGUUAUGGUCGUGUGAGCAGCUGCGGCCCCAAGGUCAUUCCCUACCUGUGGAAAUGCAAGAAGAGCAAACCGUCCUGCAUCAGGAAGGCGAAAUACUGGUAUGAGUACUUUGGUUACAACACAUCCUGCAUGAAGAAGGUGUGCGACUGCGACCGCGCCGCCGUGCUGUGCUUCAAGAAACACCAUUCGUCGUACAGCCUGGCUAACGUCAACAUUGGUCUGACCAAGUGCUAGCCCCUAACAUUCCUCUUCAUAAUCCUCUUGGCUAGCACUAGCAGGCACUGGGCUGCAGUAGAUUACAUACAAUAAUAUUAUGCAUAACUAAACAAUGCUACGGCGUGCAAGCUGACGUGCAUGCUCAGUACGACAGUAGUCGUCCGGCUUGUGCUAGUUUCAUGCUGAUCAUCCUUCUCUAUCAUUUCCGAGAUAUGCACGUGGAUAUUAUAGUGAAGACUACAUCCGGAAUCUCCAGUUACCCGUGUAUGAAAUUGAUAUUGUACUCGUUUUGUCGCCAGUCUCCUUCCUUCUUCCCCUUGGCCCGUCCUGCACACUCCCCCCCCCCCCUCGCUGCCUUCUGAAUUCAUCUCUGACUCUGUUAAUCUCUCAGGAGUCAGGUCACGUCCAAUGGCGAAGCAACAUUACCAAUUGUUUGGGAGGUUGCUUUUCGCAGUCCUGCGUCAAUUUUACACAGUGUUCUGUUGAUUCCAUCAUCGUCGAUCCUGAUCUACACACUUUCGUGUCGUGCAUUAACUUAAGUAAUUUCAUAA